rnacentral:tRNA from 1 species
GGGGGGGUACCAGAGUGGUCAAAUGGGGCAGACUGUAAAUCUGUUGGCGACGCCUUCGGAGGUUCGAAUCCUCCCCCCCCCA